rnacentral:rRNA from 1 species
UACGUAGGGUGCAAGCGUUUGUCCGGAAUUAUUGGGCGUAAAGAGCUCGUAGGCGGUUCGUCACGUCGGCUGUGAAAUCCCGAGGCUCAACCUCGGGUCUGCAGUCGAUACGGGCGGACUUGAGUACUGCAGGGGAGACUGGAAUUCCUGGUGUAGCGGUGAAAUGCGCAGAUAUCAGGAGGAACACCGGUGGCGAAGGCGGGUCUCUGGGCCGUAACUGACGCUGAGGAGCGAAAGCGUGGGGAGCGAACAGG